ACGUUGUUCUUGGUUUCUAGUGGAUCUCGAUCUUCUUCUUGUUGAAAGUAUAAGUCGUGAAACUGAUAAUCUUUGUAAGAUAUGUAGGAGAAUGGAUCUUGUGGGUAAACAACAGCCUCUAAGGCCAUAAUUAGCUACAAAUUUUGAAAGGGGUCGGAGCAAGAGAGAGAGAGGAAGAAAAGAAAGACAGAAAGUGUUUGUCUUUCUCUUUUUGUCUCGUGAGGGAGACAAGGCAAAAGCAAAAUUGAAGAAGAAAGGAAAGAGAGAAAAGAUACAAGAAGGUCAAACAAAGUUGUGGUUUGGAUCGAUGGAAGAGAGAAGAAGCUUGUGAGGUUUAUAAAGCUGACAUAUAUAUAUUUAAAAAAGAACAGAAUAAGUCUCAAAGAAAAUCCAAACCAGUUGAGUUAUGAAAAGUAUAAGAUAUAGAGAGAGGUGUUAUAUGGUUUGUUUUGCACGUGAGAUUAUAGACCGGUCUAAAAACCAAAGAAAAGAUUCUGCGUGUUUUUGCAGGCUUUGGGUUUCGUCUAGUUACACUCAUGUUCCAGGAGAGAGAACUAUAACAAGUUGCAGUCUCAAACUUUAUACGUUGCUAUGAAUUAAUGUUUUUUGCCGUAUAUCAUGUGAGUCGUUAUAAUCAAAUUAGUCGCGCAAUUUGGGGAUUUUUGGGUUGAUAAUCCCCAUUAUCAUUUCGUAUGCCACCUUUUAGGUGUUCAAUUAAUACUUGGGGCUUCUAUUCUAUAUAUUCAGAGAUAGUGAGCUUAAUGUCAAAUGUUUUUCUUUGUUUCUAUGUAUCAGCCGACGGCAAAGCUUUAAAGGUUCGUAAUGAAAGGCUUAUUUAUACGAGUAUAUUUUCGCGAAUCGUGCGGUGACAAUGACCGCUAGCUGAUUUAUUCUUUUUAUGAAAUCGUAUCGUUUAUCACAUAACCCGUAAUGAAUAACCGUGAGAAACAUAAAAUAUCAUGCAUGGGUCCGAAAGCUUAUUUCCUUUAAAUAGCUACAACUACUGGAUCUGGAUAUCUAUAGAGUAAACAUUCGUUUUCAACCCAAGACAUAUGUAUAUUAAAUUGUAUUAUAUAUUUACGAAUUUUAAUUAGUCCUAACAACUUAAAAUAAAUAUAUAUAGUUUUGUGACAAUUGUUUACAAUAUUUGUAUAUGAGAAUUUUCUGAAAAAUUAUCUGUCACGAUUCUUUAAGAUUUCAAAGAAUACAAUUUACACAAAGUAAACGUAAUAAGUUUAUAAAAAUUUCGGUAUAAUAUAAUAGAUUUUUUUUAUCAUGAUUAUGCUUGUUAAUGAUAUAUUUGUUUUCCGUGAGUAUGAUCCAUGUUAAUUUUGUCUAUCAAACAAAUAUAAUUACAUGUUGAGAUUUUUGUUUAUACUAUUCUCACAAAUUAUAAAAAGAAAAACUUCCGAAGAUAAAAAGUGUAUAUGUAAACAAAGUGACAUUUUUUAACAUUACAAAGUGACAUUUUACUAUCAAAGUCUGCUAAAAAGGAAAAGAAAUCGAGGCAAAGUGACUACCAACCGUUCUUGGUAGUGUUAUAAAACACUUUAGACGUUAUAUCACCUAAAUUUAAAUUUGAACAUUAUGCUGAGAUAAUAUGGUGGAUAUUUAUUUUAAACAAAGAGUAUAAACAUAAAUUUAUUAAUACAUGAACAUGUAGCCACAAAUGUUACAGUAACAAUGAGAAUAGCAUUAUUCAUAAUGAAAAGUCAUAAUAGUUACAUAAUAUAUUAGGGUUAUUUUCCAAGAGAAAACAUUGUUGUUAUAUUUUGGACAGUUAAAAAUGAUAUAAGAAUCGUCGUAUAUGGAUGUGUGGCUCUGUCUACGCAUAUAGGCACCUUUUUUUUUGAACAUUCAUUAUGGCCAACUAUUUUUGUGGCCAUUAGAGUAUUUUAACUCCAUUCCAUAUUUUACUAUAAAAUGGAACGAAACAGAAUAAUUAACAAACAAAAAAAUAUUACUCUGUUUUCAAAUCUAUUAUAAAGUAAAAUAUGAAAUAUGGAUGAAGAUACUCUUAAUACGCUAUAUAUAUAUAGCAUAAUGAUAUAGUUUCUCACUGUACAAACUAUAUAUAGGCGGAUUUAAAACGUUUUUCUAUGAGAAGCAAUAUAGCAGAAAAGUACAUUAUAGAAAAUAGGAUAUACAUAUGCUAUAUAAUAUGAAAAAGAAAUUUAUACAAGUCUUCAGACAAUUUGUUAUUGUUUUGGAAGUUUAUCUACAAAAUGAGAAUAAAUGUUUUAAACGAGUAUGUGUAACUUUAAGGUACAAACAAAGAAAAAUACGACCUUUUCAAAAAAAAAAAACAA